ACCAAUCUACAGCAAUAUAAACUGUUACAAUGGUAUCUGAAGCAAUUUGCUAUUUAACAAUGUUGUCAUUUUGUAAUAUAACAAUUUGAUAAUACAAAAAAAUCAUGCUUGUCAGUGGAAUCAUUGCUGAAGUGAAACUGAUCAAGCCUGGUGUAUCUCACUACUGUCACAGGAAACGCUCGGAUCAGAACCAGGACCAAGCAGCAGGGGGAGUAGAGCUCUCCAGCCAAGCACAGCAACCUGAAUGUGAAGAACCAAUUUACAGUGAGAUUGAGACCAGCAAACACAACAAUACAAAGAAAGAUACUGAAGAACCAAUUUACUGUAAUACUGACACAAGCAAGCAAAACAAAAAAAAGAAAG